UGACAGGUGGUGCAUGGUUGUCGUCAGCUCGUGUCGUGAGAUGUUGGGUUAAGUCCCGCAACGAGCGCAACCCUCGACCUUAGUUGCCAGCAUUCAGUUGGGCACUCUAAGGUGACUGCCGGCUAAAAGUCGGAGGAAGGUGGGGAUGACGUCAAAUCAUCAUGCCCCUUAUGACCUGGGCUACACACGUGCUACAAUGGGCGGUACAAAGGGUCGCGAACCCGCGAGGGGGAGCCAAUCCCAAAAAGCCGCUCUCGGUUCGGAUUGCAGGCCGCAACUCGCCUGCAUGAAGCCGGAAUCGCUAGUAAUCGCGGAUCAGCAUGCCGCGGUGAAUACGUUCCCGGGCCUU
rnacentral:rRNA from 1 species